AGAUGGCUGCGAGUAAGUGCAGGUGCCGGUGGCGCGCGGGGCUCGGGUAGUUCCGGGAACCUCCGGGCGGUUCUGGGACUGAGGUGCGGCAGGGCAGGGGUGGAAGCGAUGGGGUCCGUGCUGGAGGGGGACGCAGAAGUCACGAGGGGGCUCCUCCAGGGCAGGGGUGGCACGAGAGGGUUAGAGGUCACCGGGGGCAGCUACUUGCAGGGGUGACGCUCCUCUCCACCCCUUCAGGAGUCGGCGCCUUCCUCAGGAAUACCUGGGACAAGGAGCCAGUCCUGGUCGUGUCCUUCGUCAUCGGGGGCCUCGCUGUAAUUCUGCCCCCAUUGAGCCCCUACUUCAAGUACUCCAUCAUGAUCAACAAGGCCACGCCCUACAACUACCCAGUGCCCGUCCGCGAUGAUGGGAACAUGCCCGACAUGCCCAGCCACCCCCAGGACCCUCAGGGCCCCAGCCUGGAGUGGCUGAAGAAACUGUGAGCACCUCCACUGACAGAGGCGGCCCCUCCCACGGCUCCCAAUAAAAAUGUGAAAACCAA
rnacentral:sRNA from 1 species